UGCCAGCCGCCGCGGUAAUACGUAGGGGGCAAGCGUUAUCCGGAAUCACUGGGUGUAAAGGGUGCGUAGGCGGCAAAGUAAGUCGGAUGUGAAAACCCAGGGCUCAACCUUGGGACUGCAUUUGAAACUGCAUUGCUAGAGUGCAGGAGAGGAAAGUGGAAUUCCUAGUGUAGCGGUGAAAUGCGUAGAUAUUAGGAGGAACACCAGUGGCGAAGGCGGCUUUCUGGACUGUAACUGACGCUGAGGCACGAAAGCGUGGGGAGCGAACAGGAUUAGAUA
rnacentral:rRNA from 1 species